rnacentral:lncRNA from 1 species
CUCACACAAAGUAACAACAAUUUCCCUCUACAAUAUCGGUAAUUUCUGAGGAUCGAUCACUUUACUACAAAUUUCUCUGAAGAAGAAACAUAAUCUAGUUAAGGCUCGUCGAACUUUUUCAGGUAAAAUGGAACGUAUACCUAUUGGUAGCAAAUGCUCCAUUAGAAUAUAACAAUCAUGGGUCUUCAAACCUUUUAACUUGAGGUCUUUCAUACAAACCAAAUUUUUAAUGUUUGAAGAGUAUCCUUCUG